GGUGUAGUGAUUCCCCCGGGGAGCUCCCCCGCACCAUCGACUUCCUAACGUCUGUCAAAGCACAACCGGUUGUUGUUUGAGCAGAAAAUAAAAACAAAUCAAAUAAAGUAGUGGACUGAAAACUAUAGAACUCUGUUAA
ensembl:ncRNA T06H11.6 ncRNA